AGCGAACGCUGGCGGCAGGCUUAACACAUGCAAGUCGAGCGGGCACUUCGGUGUCAGCGGCAGACGGGUGAGUAACACGUGGGAACGUACCCUUCGGUUCGGAAUAACGCUGGGAAACUAGCGCUAAUACCGGAUACGCCCUUUUGGGGAAAGGUUUACUGCAGCAGGUUCGGCCCGCGUCUGAUUAGCUAGUUGGUAGGGUAAUAGCCUACCACGGCGUCGAUCAGUAGCUGGUCUGAGAGGAUGAUCAGCCACACUUGGACUGAGGCACGGCCCAGACUCCUACGGGAGGGAGCAGUGGGGAAUAUUGCAAAACGGGGGGAAGGCUGAUCCAGUCCUGCCGGGUGAGCGAUGAAGGCCGUAGGGUAGUAAAGCGCUUUUGUCCGGGACGAUAAUGACGGUACCGGAAGAAUAAGCCCCGGCUAACUUCGUG
rnacentral:rRNA from 1 species